UCCACAAGCAACACACUGGCAUUUCCUCACCCUACAGAUGCACCUGGGGGUGUUUGGUUUUUUGUUUUGCAGCUCCUCUGGCCUCAGGGCUGUUAAGUGGCCCAGCCCCAAGCAAAAUUAUGAUCCCUUGUUUUGUGUCCAUGUAAGAAACUAAACUGAAUGGCUGCUACAGUGCAUUUAAUGCAUGGGAUGCUGCAUCAGGAGAGAGGGAUCUGCACUGCAGCUGUUCCAGGCAUCUUUUGGGGGAACAUCAGAGAUCUUGAUUGUCUGAAACAGGAAUUCCCAGAGUAGUGGAUAUGAAGAAACUGUGACUUGAGCUGGCCACAAACAGCAACUUGUUCUCUCGGAACUGCUGCCACUCUCACACAUAGGGGGCAGUUUGUCACUUGGCAUGGAAGACCCCACAAGGAAGACACCUGGGAAAGAACUGGCUUGUGGAGUGAAAGACAUAUCCAGCAGAAGAAACAUGAAGUGCAUAUCCAGCAGAUGAAACAAUCCUCUGGCAAUGAGUUGAAAAUGUUUGUCAGGGAACCAGUGGUGGAAGUGCUGCCAAGAGCUUAUUGCUGUCCCUGAAGAGAAGAGAUUCCCAAAUUGCACAGUGACAUCUGGUGAUACCCACAGUCCUCUUUGCUGGUAUCAGGCCUCUGAAUCUCUCCAGAAAAGGGGUAAAUCCAGCCUGUGCUUCCACAUCUACAGAAAGGUGCCAUCCUGCCAGAACAACCUUUGAGAAGAGCUGAUGAAUAGAUCAGGAGAUAAACAGGUUGGCUAGUCUCAGUGGCACAUGAAGCUCUUUGGAGUCAGCAGAAGGAAGAUCUCUCUUCUGAGAGAUGCUUUUAUUCUGGCGAGAUCCAUUAGAACAAGAAAUUUCUUCUUUGUUAAUCAACUUUACCAUCAGACUUCAGGUUUAUUACUGUUUGAUAUGACAUGCUGUCCCAGCUAUUGCCCCAGACUGCUGAUUCAUCUGCAAGAAGGUAAAUUAGGCUUCAGAUGCAGUCCUGGACUUCUGGGGAAACCAUGUGCUUUCCUGUAGAAACAAUAAAACGCAGAAAUCCCUUUUAUUACAA